GAUGAAGAACGCAGCGAAAUGCGAUAAGUAGUGUGAAUUGCAGAAUUCAGUGAAUCAUCGAAUCUUUGAACGCACAUUGCGCCCCUUGGUAUUCCAUGGGGCAUGCCUGUUCGAGCGUCAUUUCAACCCUCGAGCCCCCCCGGGGGCCUCGGUGUUGGGGGACGGCACACCAGCCGCCCCCGAAAUGCAGUGGCGACCCCGCCGCAGCCUCCCCUGCGUAGUAGCACACACCUCGCACCGGAGCGCGGAGGCGGUCACGCCGUAAAACGCCCAACUUUCUUAGAGUUGACCUCGGAUCAGGUAGGAAUACCCGCUGAACUUAAGCAUAUCAAUAAGCGGAGGA
rnacentral:misc_RNA from 1 species